ensembl:lncRNA
GUGCAUGUCAGUUACAGUGAAGGAGGCGUGGCCUCUGUGUCUGUGCUUGUCAGUCACAGUGAAGGAGGCGUGUCCUCUGUCUGUGUUUAUGUCACAGUGAAGGAGGCGUGGCCUCUGUGCCUGAGCAUGUCAGUCACAGUGAAGGAGGCGUGGCCUCUGUGCCUGAGCAUGUCAGUCACAGUGAAGGAGGCGUGGCCUCUGUGCCUGUGUUUGUUAGUCACAGUGAAGGAGGUGUGGCCUCUGUGCCUGUGCAUGUCAGUUACAGUGAAGGAGGCGUGGCCUCUGUGUCUGUGCUUGUCAGUCACAGUGAAGGAGGCGUGUCCUCUGUCUGUGUUUAUGUCACAGCGAAGGAGGCGUGGCCUCUGUGCCUGAGCAUGUCAGUCACAGUGAAGGAGGCGUGGCCUCUGUGCCUGUGUUUGUUAGUCACAGUGAAGGAGGUGUGGCCUCUGUGUCUGUGCAUGUCAGUUACAGUGAAGGAGGCGUGGCCUCUGUGUCUGUGCUCGUCAGUCACAGUGAAGGAGGCGUGGCCUCUGUGUCUGUGCUUGUCAGUCACAGUGAAGGAGGCGUAUCCUCUGUGCCUGUGUUUGUCAGUCACAGUGAAGGAGGCGUGGCCUCUGUGCCUGUGUUUGUCAGUCACAGUGAAGGAGGCGUGGCCUCUGUGCCUGUGUUUGUCAGUCACAGUGAAGGAGGUGUGGCCUCUGUGCCUGUAUAGCUGCCUAGGGAGUCUUGUUAGAGCAGAUUCGAUGUGUUCUAGUGUUCGAGACAGAGCUGCUUCUCUCUGCUGGUUUGUGAUGUGGCGUUUCUUCAUCCUGACUGAUCACACCUGAAUACGAGAGCAGCUGGAAUGAGUUUAAUGAGGAGUGAAGGACAAGAGUUCCCGUUUAGAAUCAGAAACACGAGGGAGAAGACUGAAAAGAGACUGUCCUCACACGCUCGCUCUCUCUUUUGUAAUCUCCUAGCAGCACCAGCGCUCUGACUGCAUUGCUGCUGAAGCACUAACGCGCUGUUUGUGAUGGAAAAAGACAAAUAAGUACUCGGCCUUUUGUCAUUGAGGGUAAAAAC